rnacentral:rRNA from 1 species
UGAGGAAUAUUGCUCAAUGGGCGAAAGCCUGAAGCAGCAACGCCGCGUGCGCGAUGAAGGUCUUCGGAUCGUAAAGCGCUUUUGAGAGGGACGAGAUAGGACGGUACCUCUUGAAUAAGCAUCGGCUAACUUCGUGCCAGCAGCCGCGGUAAUACGAAGGAUGCAAGCGUUAUCCGGAAUUAUUGGGUUUAAAGGGUGCGUAGGCGGACUAAUAAGUCAGUGGUGAAAGCCUGCAGCUUAACUGCAGAAUUGCCAUUGAUACUGUUAGUCGUGAGUACAGUUGAGGUAGGCGGAAUGUGUCAUGUAGCGGUGAAAUGCUUAGAUAUGACACAGAACACCGAUUGCGAAGGCAGCUUGCUAAGCUGUAACUGACGCUGAGGCACGAAAGCGUGGGGAGCAAACA